CGUGUCUCUAGUGUCAGCAGCCGCGGUAAUACGGAGGAUCCGAGCGUUAUCCGGAUUUAUUGGGUUUAAAGGGAGCGUAGAUGGAUGUUUAAGUCAGUUGUGAAAGUUUGCGGCUCAACCGUAAAAUUGCAGUUGAUACUGGAUAUCUUGAGUGCAGUUGAGGCAGGCGGAAAUUCGUGGUGUAGCGGUGAAAUGCUUAGAUAUCACGAAGAACUCCGAUUGCGAAGGCAGCCUGCUAAGCUGCAACUGACAUUGAGGCUCGAAAGUGU
rnacentral:rRNA from 1 species